rnacentral:rRNA from 1 species
GAUGAACGCUGGCGGCGUGCUUAACACAUGCAAGUCGAACGAUGAAGCCCAGCUUGCUGGGUGGAUUAGUGGCGAACGGGUGAGUAACACGUGAGUAACCUGCCCUUAACUCUGGGAUAAGCCUGGGAAACUGGGUCUAAUACCGGAUAGGAGCGUCCACCGCAUGGUGGGUGUUGGAAAGAUUUAUCGGUUUUGGAUGGACUCGCGGCCUAUCAGCUUGUUGGUGAGGUAAUGGCUCACCAAGGCGACGACGGGUAGCCGGCCUGAGAGGGUGACCGGCCACACUGGGACUGAGACACGGCCCAGACUCCUACGGGAGGCAGCAGUGGGGAAUAUUGCACAAUGGGCGCAAGCCUGAUGCAGCGACGCCGCGUGAGGGAUGACGGCCUUCGGGUUGUAAACC